rnacentral:lncRNA from 1 species
CUUUGGAAGCUCAAAGCCGCACUGGAAACACAGUCUUUCAGGAUGUCUGAAAGGGGCAAGUCUGUUUGUGUGGGGUAAGAAAUGCGGGGAGACAAACGGACAGUGGACAGAUUGCAGAGAGCUCUGUGUGCUGAGAGGAGGGUGCAGACCAGAUUUUUAAAUUGAGAAUGCAACAGUGAAGGAUUUCAAGCUUGGAGUGAGAGGGGAGACUACGAGCCUGCAGUGAUAAGGCAAAGCUGAAGAUUUCAGAGCCAAGGCCACACCCUACAGUUGCCAUGGAAUGGGGUGGCACAGUGGGCUUUGGAGGUAAAGUCUGCAGUUGAGAAGUUCAAGGGUAGUAAGUACUUAAUGCCAGGUCAAUCAUCCCUUUUAAGACACAGAUAUCAUCUGCAGCGUUUUCAGGAACAGCGAUAGAGAAGAAAAGCGGGCAGCUACUAGAUAUUCAAAUCUUCCACAAAUGUCAGGGAGAGAGUCAGGCAGUUGGUAGAAGAGACCUGUAAAGCUGGGUACCAUAAGCCUCAACACAGGUGUUUUUAUUUCAAGGCUGGGGAGCUGUGCUUUGGAAAAGCAAUGAGGAGGUAACAGGAAGUCUCUUCUCCUUCUAAAUCCUGUGUUCAUGGAGGAGGGUGGGUUUUCUCCUCUUGAGAGGGAGUUACAUACAAGUUUAAGGGAAAAGAGUCUGAAGUUUCCACCUAAAUGAUUCUGAAAGAAUCAGGUUAAGAAGCAAAUCUGUUCCGAUGUGAUGCCAACUAAGUACAUGAUCUGAUUGUUCCAGUUAUCCUGUGCCAAAAAGAAGCAAAAAAUGGGCUUUCCACGGAUUAUUGAACACGGUGUCAGUGUGCCUGAGAAACAAGCCUCUAUUAAAAGCUUUCUAGGCAAUUUGAAUCAGGUUGCUGAGCUUUGAAAAACAUUCUACAGCCAAGUGUAGGAGACCCAAGAACUUGGAGAACAUACACGCUCUGAGCUAUUUCAAAAAAUACAGCACUUAAGCCAAUUGAGCUGUAGUCAGGGCAACACAGGCAUGAAUAACAUGAAGGUAGAUUUUAGUAGAAGAGAAGAACAGGCAAGGGAUGCAGUCAUGUGCAUUUGAAACACAGGACAAACAUAAGCCCUUUUUAUCUCAAUAAAGUAAGCGCAGUUUGGGGGCAUUCUGCGGGGUGAGAUAAUUUGUUGGAAUUUAGACGAGGCCCAGAAUCAUCCAUUGGAUAUUAAAUCCACACAUAAGCCUCUGCUAGAAUUGUGCCAGAGUAAGGGCAAUCCUGGAAUUCCUCCAGGCAGUCCUACCACAUCACCCAGAUGUCUGGUUUCUAGGUGAAUGAAUUGAAGAAAGAUCAAGAAAUAUAUGGUGGGUAAGAGGUAGGAGAGAAAGCCUGUGUAAAUUAAAUCAGAUCUCCUCAUACAUAAAC